CGCCUCGGUCUCCCCUCCCCCACCUACCGCUCCCACUCCAUCCUCCCUACCAGCCUCUCUCCCUCUCGCCCCAGAUCCCCGUCGACUGAGCUCCAUCGCCGCCGGCUACCUCACACUGCCGCGGCCACCGGCCAGCCCUCACCUCGCAGGCAUGUCAUAGAGCUCCACCACUGGCCGUUACAUCGCCUACGCCAACCGGAAUGAGCCCGGGGCCCCUGCAGCGCGUCGUCGCCGUUGUCUUCUCCACCUCCGGCCACCAGGCGCUAUCACGGCUCCAUCAACCUCUGUUGCUCCUAGACCUCAGCCAUCUUGAGCUCCGCGGACACGAGAAGUUGUUGGCUAUUGGAGAGGCCAGGGAGUUUCCAGGAAUGCUCGGAUCAAUUGAUUGCAUGCAUUGGCAAUGAAAAAACUACCCCCAAAAGUUUGUGGGGAAUGUAUGAAGGUCACACCAAAGAGGCCACCAUCAUACUAGAAGCGAUGACAUUACAUGGCUUAUGAAUUUGGUAUGCAUUCUUUGGAAUGUCGGGUUCUCAUAAUGACAUCAACGUGCUUCAACGAUCUCCGGUGUUGAGGAGGCUUUGCAAUGGGGAAUCACCGCUGCGCAACUACACCGUCGAUCAACGGUCGAGACUACAACAUGAGAUACUAUUUUGCUGAUGGCAUCUAUCCUUGGCGGGUGACAUUUGUGAAGACCAUAUCUGAACCGCAUGGAAAUAAACAAAGCCACUUUGCAACAAUGCAGGAAGCGGCUAGGAAGGAUGUGGAGAAGGUAUUUGGUGUGCUUCAAGCUCGUUGAGGAAUUGUUCGUGGCGGUGCAAUGGUGUAGGAAUCGGAAACUUUGUGGCAGCUCGUAACAUGUUGUAUUAUUUUGCACAAUAUGAUUAUCGAGGAUGGGGGUGAUGGUGUAGCCCAAACCAAUGAUUUCGAAGCACCAGGAGAACACGUUAAAAUCUCGGAAGAUCAAGGUGCAACUUAGCUCCUGAACUUUCUGCAAAUGCAUCAGAAUCUUCGAGAUCAUCAGGUGCACGUGCAACUUCUGAAUGAUCUUGUGGAGCAUAUCUGGACCCACAAUGAAAAUCAAAGAGCUGAUGUUUGAGUUGUGCAUUUAAAAUAAAUUUUAUGUAAACACUAUUUUAUAUUCGCUACCAAACAUUUGUUAUUUACAUGUGAAUGGGAUGUAUGAUCGACGUGCA